rnacentral:rRNA from 1 species
GACGAACGCUGGCGGCGUGCCUAAUACAUGCAAGUAGGACGCAGUUGCGAACGGGUGAGUAACGCGUAGGUAACUGCCUAUUAGAGGGGGAUAACUAUUGGAAACGAUAGCUAAUACCGCAUACUAGUAGAUGGACCUGCGUUGUAUUAGCUAGUAGGUAGGGUAAUGGGCUAACUAGGCAACGAUACAUAGCCGAGCUGAGGAGGUGAUUGGCGACAACGGGAAUGGGAAACGGGCCAAGCUCCCACGGGAGGCAGCAGUAGGGAAUCUGCGGCAAAGGGGGGAACGCUGACCGCACAACGCCGCGGGAGUGAAGAAGGUUUUCGGGUCGUAAAGCUCUGUUGAGAAGGAAGCGGUACUUAACCAGAAAGGGACGGCUAACUACGUGCCAGCAGCCGCGGUAAUAC